rnacentral:rRNA from 1 species
GAUGAACGCUGGCGGCGUGCCUAAUACAUGCAAGUCGAGCGAACGGACGAGAAGCUUGCUUCUCUGAUGUUAGCGGCGGACGGGUGAGUAACACGUGGAUAACCUACCUAUAAGACUGGGAUAACUUCGGGAAACCGGAGCUAAUACCGGAUAAUAUUUUGAACCGCAUGAUUCAAAAGUGAAAGACGGUCCUGCUGUCACUUAUAGAUGGAUCCGCGCUGCAUUAGCUAGUUGGUAAGGUAACGGCUUACCAAGGCAACGAUGCAUAGCCGACCUGAGAGGGUGAUCGGCCACACUGGAACUGAGACACGGUCCAGACUCCUACGGGAGGCAGCAGUAGGGAAUCUUCCGCAAUGGGCGAAAGCCUGACGGAGCAACGCCGCGUGAGUGAUGAAGGUCUUCGGAUCGUAAAACUCUGUUAUUAGGGAAGAACAUAUGUGUAAGUAACUGUGCACAUCUUGACGGUACCUAAUCAGAAAGCCACGGCUAACUACGUG